AUCAAAUUAAGUGAACUAUUGUAUUAAUUCCUUCCUUGUCUAUUCAUAGAUUUCAUUCUGCUUUUUUCCUGCUUAGUGGUAAUUUGAAGAAGUUGGAACGCUGCUCUUAGGCUCAUUUACGUCAUUUACUAAAAGAGAAAUUCAUAUGGACUGUUUCCUCUCUACCUGUACCCAAGAUCUUACCUUUCAAAUGGUAAUAAAGACUUUGAAAUUUUAACUGAGGUUUGGCUGGCUGACCUAUACAU
rnacentral:lncRNA from 1 species